rnacentral:rRNA from 1 species
AACGAACGCUGGCGGCAUGCCUAACACAUGCCAGUCGAACGAGACCUUCGGGUCUAGUGGCGCACGGGUGCGUAACGCGUGGGAACCUGCCCUUAGGUUCGGAAUAACUCCCCGAAAGGGGUGCUAAUACCGGAUAAUGUCUUCGGACCAAAGAUUUAUCGCCUUUGGAUGGGCCCGCGUUGGAUUAGCUAGUUGGUAGGGUAAAAGCCUACCAAGGCGACGAUCCAUAGCUGGUCUGAGAGGAUGAUCAGCCACACUGGGACUGAGACACGGCCCAGACUCCUACGGGAGGCAGCAGUGGGGAAUAUUGGACAAUGGGUGAAAGCCUGAUCCAGCAAUGCCGCGUGAGUGAUGAAGGCCUUAGGGUUGUAAAGCUCUUUUACCCGGGAUGAUAAUGACAGUACCGGGAGAAUAAGCUCCGGCUAACUCCGUG